GAUGAACGCUGGCGGCGUGCCUAAUACAUGCAAGUCGAGCGAACAGACGAGGAGCUUGCUCCUCUGACGUUAGCGGCGGACGGGUGAGUAACACGUGGAUAACCUACCUAUAAGACUGGGAUAACUUCGGGAAACCGGAGCUAAUACCGGGUAAUAUAUUGAACCGCAUGGUUCAAUAGUGAAAGACGGUUUUGCUGUCACUUAUAGAUGGAUCCGCGCCGCAUUAGCUAGUUGGUAAGGUAACGGCUUACCAAGGCAACGAUGCGUAGCCGACCUGAGAGGGUGAUCGGCCACACUGGAACUGAGACACGGUCCAGACUCCUACGGGAGGCAGCAGUAGGGAAUCUUCCGCAAUGGGCGAAAGCUUGACGGAGCAACGCCGCGUGAGUGAUGAAGGUCUUCGGAUCGUAAAACUCUGUUAUUAGGGAAGAACAAAUGUGUAAGUAACUAUGCACGUCUUGACGGUACCUAAUCAGAAAGCCACGGCUAACUACGUG
rnacentral:rRNA from 1 species